GACGAACGCUGGCGGCGUGCUUAACACAUGCAAGUCGAACGGAAAGGCCCUGCUUUUGUGGGGUGCUCGAUUGGCGAACGGGUGAGUAACACGUUAGUAACCUGCCCUUGACUUUGGGAUAACUUCAGGAAACUGGGGCUAAUACCGGAUAGGAUCUCCUGCUGCAUGGUGGGGGUUGGAACGUUUCGGCGGUUGGGGAUGGACUCGCGGGUUAUCAGCUUGUUGGUGGGUUAGUGGCUUACCAAGGCUUUGACGGGUAGCCGGCCUGAGAGGGUGAACGGCCACAUUGGGACUGAGAUACGGACCAGACUCCUACGGGAGGCAGCAGGGGGGAAUAUUGCACAAUGGGCGGAAGCCUGAUGCAGAAACGCCGCGUGCGGGAUGACGGCCUUCGGGUUGUAAACCGCUGUAGCCUGUGACGAAGCGUGAGUGACGGUAAUGGGUAAAGAAGCACCGGCUAACUACGUG
rnacentral:rRNA from 1 species